AUUGAACGCUGGCGGCAGGCUUAACACAUGCAAGUCGAGCGAGCGGCGGACGGGUGAGUAAUGUCUGGGAAACUGCCUGAUGGAGGGGGAUAACUACUGGAAACGGUAGCUACUACCGCAUACCAUCAGAUGUGCCCAGAUGGGCUUAGCUAGGAGGUGGGGUAAUGGCUCACCUAGGCGACUAUCCCUAGCUGGUCGUAGAGGAGUACCAGCCACACUCGAACGGAGACACGGUCCAGACUCCUACGGGAGGCAUCAGUGGGGAAUAGUGCACAAUGGGCGCAAGCCUGAUGCAGCCAUGCCGCGUGUGUGAAGAAGGCCUGCGGGUUGUAAAGCACUUUCAGCGCGGAGGCGUUACUCGCAGAAGAAGCACCGGCUAACUCCGUGCCAGCAGCCGCGGUAAUAC
rnacentral:rRNA from 1 species